CAAUAAAAUAAAGCUGGUCGCUUUUAAACAAUUUGUAGUACCGUCCGAAAUGUUACUUAAAUUUCGUCAAGUAGUUUAUAAAGAGUUUCAGCUAUCGGCUUUCUGUGCGCCUAUUUUAGUACGAAGCGUCCGGCAACGUCGUUGAACACUUUAAACAAUUGCAUGGGAAGAGGGGACAAGUGCACGACACGCUACUUUAUUUAUGUUUAUAUUCAAUGGAUUAGUUCGAAUUCGGGAUAGAAGCAUUAUAUUUGCGAAAAGUCGGUCCAUCAGAACUCAUCCGAAAUUCUGCGAGUUUCAGAAAUUUUGACGACAAUUUGGCUUUUUUAAAUCGUUUAAAUGUAUAAGUUCAGCAUCGUGUUUCAAAUGUUUGCAAAGUAAAAUUUCGCCCUGUAAGAAAUUCGAAUUUUACCAAAACUGCGAUAUUUGAUUGAAUUUAAUUUUCAACAUGAAUGUGACAUGUUCGACAAAGUACGAGCUACCUAAAAGUUCUUGGGUCGACAUAGAAUUUCACGAUUUGACUUAUACAGUGCCUCAAGGAAAAAAUAAACACGUUCAGAAGAUGAUAAACCAGAACAGAUUACAAACAACGCAAACUAAGGAAUCUCAAUUCCAAGGACUACUAACUUUAAGGAAUAAAAAAAUGAAUUAGAAAGUUAAUUUUGGGAUGAAAGAUAAAUAGAAUUAUAUGCUGAUAUUAAAAGUCAAUCAGAAAACCAAA